UUGUGACUAUGUUGAUAAUUUUUAAAUAUUUUCAUAUUUUUGAAAAUCUAAUAGAUAAAAAUUCAAAAAAAAAUAACAUAUUUAAAUAUUUUCAUUUUCUACAGUUUUUCAUUGUUCAAAUCCCCUUAGUUGACACCGGCUUGGGGUUAUCUCGGUUAAGUAAACAAUCAUCUGUUCUCGGGAGUCAUUGACUGUCUCGGUGUCAGCUUUUGGCCAAUGUUCACUUCCCAGUGCCACAUUAGCCUCUUGGUCUUGUGUGGUGGUGUUGUUUGGUUUUUCUUACUGGUAAUUAUCGGAGAUGUGUUGUUAGGUUGUAGCGGUAAAUUCAACCUGCUUUCUGCAUUUUCAUGGCGUUGGAGGUGGGUGUAUAGCCGAGUUCACAGCGUCUCGCUAAGGGGAUAUGUCUUGAACUCUCCACUUUCAAUUGUCACGCUCUAAAAUGGUGGUGAAGGUUACAAGCUUGAUAAGUCUAUCGACGGACAGCUAUUCCAGAAACUUUUUGGAGAGCUUUGGCAUCCGAGGAAACAAGGUGAAUCUCGCUUCUUUGAGCUUCGCGCUAAAGGUUGAGAACAGUCGUUGAUUACCGACGAUUUUGGCUACAAGUUAACGGUACGCAUCGGGGGUGACGGGUCAAGCGAAGCUAGCUUAGGAACCGUUAGAAUUUGGUUGUUUUGUUUGAGUCGGUUUGUAAUCGAAACCUAAUUCUCUAUUUUUGGGUUAAUAUAUUUCAAUUUCAAAAAAAGAAAAAAAUUCUUAAAGAAAGUGCUCGCGAUAUAUAUAUAUGGAUAUCCUUUAUGUAUUCAUUGUGCAAUGUGGCGUUUUAUGUGGGUACAGAAUAUGAAGUACAAGAUAUUUUUGUUAUAAAUAUUUUAUAUUUGUGGUGGAAAGUGUUCGAACACCAACAACCAUUAUCACACACCCAAAAUAUGAUAGCAAAAGAAACAAAAUUAGUUUUCACAAGGAUUACACCGUUCUCUCUCUUUAAUUUCAGAAGCAGUUGCAUAUAUAAGACAAAACUAUUAAACUGAUUUAGUACAAUAUCCAUUUUUUUUAUCCUUUCAGUAUAUCCUUUUUAACCGAAAAGAUUCACAUUCGAGGCUUGAUUAAUAUAUAAAGGUUUGGACCAUUCUACUUAUGCUAAUCUAAUUUUUUUAAACUGAAAUACAAAUAUAAAUUAGUUUUCCUAAAUAAUUACAAUCUAAUGUCAAUGAUCAAAACACAGUAGUUUUAUCUAAUUACUAACUUAUUACUUCUCUGAACAGUACAUUUUAUCACGUCUUUUUUUACCUACUAUAUCUUCGAACCAUGAAUCACGCCUUUUUUUACCUACCAUAUCUUCAAAUAUAAAUGAAAAACUUAUGUUAACAAUUCUUAAAUAAUAUACGUGAAAGAUCUUUACAAUAUUCGAAUAUCCGGCUCUGCGACAAUUAAGAUGCGAAACUAUCUCAAACCUAACAGCGAUGAAGAUUCGAGAGAUUACUGGGUUUCUCUAUGGUUUUCCCAGUCAUAUUAAUCUGUAUUAAAUGGAGGAAGAAUCACAUGUUACAGCGACGAAGAUCGGAGGGGUUUUGUGGAUCUCAAUCAGUGGAGAAUAUGCAAUUCUUAGCUGGGAGGUUCAGGUCUUCCUUAUUUUCGAUGAGAUGGGGUGGAUAUUGGCAGAGAAAAGUUGUGAACCUUCGGGAGAAGAUGAAAGAAGUCACAUAUUUUAACUUUGUGUUCAACAGAAAAAAAAAAACAAAAAAACAAAUAAUUAGUUAGGUUGAAAACAAUAUGUGUGCAUUGAUAUUUCCCAUAUUCUUUUGUGGUCUUUCUCCGUUAAUAUCAUACUAAAUCAUAUUUUCUUUGUAAUGUAUUAUGGCACAUAUUAAUAACCAAACUAUGUUUACUUU